rnacentral:rRNA from 1 species
UACGUAGGGUGCGAGCGUUGUCCGGAUUUAUUGGGCGUAAAGAGCGUGUAGGCGGCCAGACAGGUCCGUUGUGAAAACUGGAGGCUUAACCUUCAGACGUCGAUGGAAACCGUCGGGCUAGAGUCCGGAAGAGGAGAGUGGAAUUCCUGGUGUAGCGGUGAAAUGCGCAGAUAUCAGGAAGAACACCCGUGGCUAAGGCGGCUCUCUAGUACGGUACUGACGCUGAGACGCGAAAGCGUGGGGAGCGAACAGG